rnacentral:tRNA from 1 species
GCCUGGGUGGCUCAGUGGGUUGAGUGUCUGACUCUUGAUUUCAGCCUGUGUCAUCAUCUCACGGUUUGUGGGUUCAAGCCCCACAUCAGGCU